GGUGGGCUGGCGAAGUGGGAACGCUGCGGUCUGCAAAACCGCCAUGAGCGGGUUCGACUCCCGCGCCCACCU
rnacentral:tRNA from 1 species